rnacentral:piRNA from 1 species
UGAAGAUUCAGGGUGUUCAUAUGUGU